UACGUAGGGUGCGAGCGUUAAUCGGAAUUACUGGGCGUAAAGCGUGCGUAGGCGGUUCCUCAAGUCCGUUGUGAAAGCCCCGGGCUCAACCUGGGAAUGGCAGUGGAAACUAGGGGACUGGGAUCUGGCAGAGGGGGGUGGAAUGCCGCGUGUAGCAGUGAAAUGCGUAGAGAUGCGGCGGAACACCGAUGGCGAAGGCAGCCCCCUGGGCUGAGAUUGACGCUCAGGCACGAAAGCGUGGGGAGCAAACAGG
rnacentral:rRNA from 1 species